rnacentral:rRNA from 1 species
UACAGAGGUCUCGAGCGUUAGGCGGAAUCACUGGGCUUAAAGCGUGUGUAGGCGGGUCGUUAAGUACCUUGUGAAAUCCCCCCGGCUCAACCGGGGAACGGCUGGGUAUACUGGCGAUCUUGAGCCACCUAGGGGCAGUCGGAACAAGUGGUGGAGCGGUGAAAUGCGUAGAUAUCACUUGGAACGCCAAUGGUGAAAACAGACUGCUGGGGGUGUGCUGACGCUGAGACACGAAAGCCAGGGGAGCAAACGGG